GGGAAAGAGCCCAGACCAUCGGCUAAGGUCCCCAAAUUCAAGCUAAGUGGGAAACGAUGUGAGGUUACUGAAACAACCAGGAGGUUAGCUUAGAAGCAGCUAUCCUUUAAAGAGUGCGUAAUAGCUCACUGGUCGAGUGAUCUUGCGCGGAAAAUUUAACGGGGCUAAGCUUGAUACCGAAGCCAUGGGUUCUAGAUUUAUCUAGAGCGGUAGGGGAGCGUUCUGUCAGCAGUGAAGGUUGACCGUGAGGACAGCUGGAGUGGACAGAAGCGAGAAUGCAGGCAUGAGUAGCGUAAAACACGUGAGAACCGUGUUCACCGUAUGUCUAAGGUUUCCGACGCCAGGUCGUUCCGCGUCGGGUUAGUCGGGGCCUUAGCCGAGGCCGAGAGGCGUAGGCGAUGGAUAACCGGUCAACAUUCCGGUACUACUUAAUACGAGCGAUGGAGGGACGCAUAGAGGUAAGCCAGCCUGAGAUUGGAAGUUCAGGUGAACCAUGUGUCAGACGUUGAAGUCCGCAGGAAAAUCCACGGACCGAGUUGAGACAUGGUUGCGAGUCUAUAAGACGUAAGUGAGCUGACCCUUAGUGCCAAGAAAGCUUCUAAGUGUUGACUAUUAAGUACCCGUACCGCAAACCGACACUGGUAGACGGGUAGAAUAUACCAAGGUGAACGGGAGAACCUUCGUUAAGGAACUCGGCAAUUUAGCCUCGUAACUUCGGGAUAAGAGGUGCCCUUUGACGUGAAAGUUUACUUGAGCGUCGGAGGGUCGCAGUGAAAUGGCUCAAGGGACUGGUUAACAAAACCACAGGUCUCUGCAAAACCGUAAGGUGAUGUAUAGGGGCUGACACCUGCCCAGUGCCGGAAGGUUAAAGGGAGAGGUUAGCGCAAGCGAAGCUUUGAACUGAAGCCCCGGUGAACGGCGGCCGUAACUAUAACGGUCCUAAGGUAGCGAAAUUCCUUGUCGGGUAAGUUCCGACCCGCACGAACGGUGUAACAACUUGAGCAGUGUCUCAACGAAGGACCCGGCGAAAUUGAAAUGGCUGUGAAGAUGCGGCCUACCCGCAGUAGGACAAAAAGACCCCGUGGAGCUUUACUGCAGCUUGACAUUGAGUUUGGAUAUUAUUUGUGGAGGAUAGGUGGGAGGCUAUGAAGCUAGGGCGCCAGCCUUGGUGGAGCCAUCAGUGAAAUACCACCCUGGUAAUGUUUAGACCCUAACCUACGACCGUUAUCCGGCGUA
rnacentral:rRNA from 1 species